AUUGAACGCUGGCGGCAGGCCUAACACAUGCAAGUCGAGCGGAUGAGGGAGGUUGCCCCUGGAUUCAGCGGCGGACGGGUGAGUAAAGCCUAGGAAUCUGCCUGGUAGUGGGGGAUAACGUCCGGAAACGGGCGCUAAUACCGCAUACGGCCUGAGGGAGGAAGGGGGGGAUCUUCGGACCCCAAGGUAUCCGAUGAGCCUAGGUCGGAUUAGCUAGUUGGUGGGGUAAAGGCCUACCAAGGCGACGAUCCGUAACUGGUCUGAGAGGAUGAUCAGUCACACUGGAACUGAGACACGGUCCAGACUCCUACGGGAGGCAGCAGUGGGGAAUAUUGGACAAUGGGCGAAAGCCUGAUCCAGCCAUGCCGCGUGUGUGAAGAAGGUCUUCGGAUUGUAAAGCACUUUAAGUUGGGAGGAAGGGCAGUAAGUUAAUACCUUGCUGUUUUGACGUUACCAACAGAAUAAGCACCGGCUAACUUCGUG
rnacentral:rRNA from 1 species